UAAAGAAUUCUGGUCUCCUAGGAGUGCAUU
rnacentral:piRNA from 1 species